UAGGGAAUCUUCCACAAUGGACGCAAGUCUGAUGGAGCAACGCCGCGUGAGUGAAGAAGGUUUUCGGAUCGUAAAGCUCUGUUGUUGGUGAAGAAGGAUAGAGGUAGUAACUGGCCUUUAUUUGACGGUAAUCAACCAGAAAGUCACGGCUAACUACGUGCCAGCAGCCGCGGUAAUACGUAGGUGGCAAGCGUUGUCCGGAUUUAUUGGGCGUAAAGCGAGCGCAGGCGGAAGAAUAAGUCUGAUGUGAAAGCCCCCGGCUUAACCGAGGAACUGCAUCGGAAACUGUUUUUCUUGAGUGCAGAAGAGGAGAGUGGAAUUCCAUGUGUAGCGGUGGAAUGCGUAGAUAUAUGGAAGAACACCAGUGGCGAAGGCGACUCUCUGGUCUGCAACUGACGCUGAGGCUCGAAAGCAUGGGUAGCGAACAGG
rnacentral:rRNA from 1 species